UAAUCCGACCAAGGCUCAUCUGAUAGCGCAAGGCCCGAAGGUCCCCUGCUUUCUCCCGUAGGACGUAUGCGGUAUUAGCGUCCGUUUCCGAGCGUUAUCCCCCACUACCAGGCAGAUUCCUAGGCAUUACUCACCCGUCCGCCGCUCUCAAGAGAAGCAAGCUUCUCUCUACCGCUCGACUUGCAUGUGUUAGGCCUGCCGCCAGCGUUCAAUCUGAGCCAGGAUCAAACUCU
rnacentral:rRNA from 1 species